rnacentral:rRNA from 1 species
UGGGGAAUUUUGGACAAUGGGGGCAACCCUGAUCCAGCCAUUCCGCGUGAGUGAAGAAGGCCUUCGGGUUGUAAAGCUCUUUCAGCAGGAACGAAACGGUCGGCUUUAAUAAAGUCGGCUAAUGACGGUACCUGCAGAAGAAGCACCGGCUAACUACGUGCCAGCAGCCGCGGUAAUACGUAGGGUGCGAGCGUUAAUCGGAAUUACUGGGCGUAAAGCGUGCGCAGGCGGCGACAUAAGACAGAUGUGAAAUCCCCGGGCUCAACCUGGGAACUGCGUUUGUGACUGUGUUGCUAGAGUGUAGCAGAGGGGGGUGGAAUUCCACGUGUAGCAGUGAAAUGCGUAGAGAUGUGGAGGAACACCGAUGGCGAAGGCAGCCCCCUGGGUUAACACUGACGCUCAUGCACGAAAGCGUGGGGAGCAAACAGGAUUAGAUACCCAAGUAGUCCCUGAGCGGGCUGGCAAGGCGCAU